AUUGAACGCUGGCGGCAUGCUUUACACAUGCAAGUCGAACGGCAGCGCGGGCUUCGGCCUGGCGGCGAGUGGCGAACGGGUGAGUAAUGCAUCGGAACGUGCCCAGUAGUGGGGGAUAGCACGGCGAAAGCCGGAUUAAUACCGCAUACGACCUGAGGGUGAAAGCGGGGGACCGAAAGGCCUCGCGCUAUUGGAGCGGCCGAUGUCGGAUUAGCUAGCUGGUGGGGUAAAGGCUUACCAAGGCGACGAUCCGUAGCUGGUCGGAGAGGACGACCAGCCACACUGGGACUGAGACACGGCCCAGACUCCUACGGGAGGCAGCAGUGGGGAAUUUUGGACAAUGGGGGCAACCCUGAUCCAGCCAGGCCGCGUGCGGGAAGAAGGCCUUCGGGUUGUAAACCGCUUUUGUUCGGGAAGAAAUCCUCUGGGCUAAUACCCCGGGGGGAUGACGGUACCGGAAGAAUAAGCACCGGCUAACUACGUG
rnacentral:rRNA from 1 species